rnacentral:lncRNA from 1 species
AGCAGGGCACGUGGCUUGGGACCGUGUGGAGAGUGCGGGCGCUGGACAGCAGCUCCGGCCCCUCACCGACGCGCAGCCCGCGCCUGGGCCGACCUGUUGACUGAAAAUCAGCCGGCGCUUGGCCAGAUGCGUCGAUGGAGGCCCGCAGCCCAGCGACGACGUGGUAGUCAUGGCUGAAGCGGCGCCUGCCCCGCCAAAUGCAGAGAAGAGCUCAUACCUCUAUUCCAUAGAAAUCACACUGUGGACCGUGGUGCCUGCUGUUCAGGCCUUGGAGAAGAAAAGUGGAUUCUUGCCUGGCCCGCUUGCUGACUCUGGAGGGAUGCUCAGGGACAGCAGAGAAGAAGCUGGCUGACUGUGAGAAGACAGCUGUGGAGUUCAGCAGCCAGCUGGAGGGCAAGUUGGCCGUGCUGGGGACCCUGCCUCAGGAGUCUAGGCUGCUGCAUGAAGAACCUCAUGGGCAACUGGAACUUCUGGGUCCAGCGGCUUCCCCCUGGCAACAAGGGGGAGGUCCCCAAGAGUGGGCCAAGCUGGAGGACUGGCAGAAGAGGCUCGACAAGCAUGUGAUGGGGGCAGCUAUGAGAUGCUCGUUUCCCUGGGUAUUUCUCUGAGUCCAGAGCAGGCCCCAAGUCCAGCUAGCCCUGCCCAGGAGGAACUGAAUCAAAGGCAGACACCUGAGCAGCAGCAAGAGGAAGCAACCAUGAUUCCACCUGAGCCAGGCACUGGGAUUCCAGCAAGCACCAGCCCUUUAUCACUUAAACAGGAGGAAGAAUCUGCAGAGGGAGGAGAGUUGCCACCCUCCCCUUCCACAGAUAGCCUGCUUUCUGUGGAGCCAGAAGCCCCAUCUGAGGAUCAACCUGAGCAGAACCUUCUGCAGUCCUGCAGCCAGUCCGUAUUUAGAGUCCACAGAAGGACCAGGAUUAAGACCAGGGGCCACAGAUGGCAUCACACGGAUUGGGGAACCUCAGGCAGCAGAGGAUAUGGGAGAGCCACCCUGUAUCCUUCCUCAGCCACAGAAGCAGGCAUUCCUGUGCCCUGACUGUGGGCAGAGCUUCUGCUUGAAGAUUAAUCUGACAAUCCAUUAGCAGACCCAUGUAGAAAAGAAACACAAGGAGGCUUGGAGUGGCUUGCCUAUUAGGUCAGGGAAAAGCCACUCCACACUGGAACCAGAGAAAGUGGUGGUGCCAGGCCCUGUCAUCCACUGGCCACCUGAGGAGCCCACAAGCCACCGGUCUCCAACAAGCCAUGCCUUCAUGAGACAAAGGCCAGCAACUACAGUUUACCACUGUAGUGAAUGUCUUCACUCCUUUCAGCAACAGAAGAGCCUGGUAUUACACCAGCAUCAGCACACAGGCAAGAGGCAGAGCUGGCCUGCCUGUCCCUACUGUGGCAAGGCCUCCCGCCGGCCCUCAGACCUCUUUUGUCACCAGUGUAUCCAUACUGGUGAGCGUUCCUAUCAGUGCCCCCAGUGUGGCAAGGAGCCACCACCUGGCUGUCCACAUGCAGACUCAUUCCUGAGGCUAAACAAUCCUGCAUUUCCUCUUGCUUUCUGUCCUCCAGGGAAGUCCAGCCCUGCAAGGGCCCAGCUCUGAACAGGACAGGACCUGCACUGUCUCAGGGCCUUUCCCUUGUGCCUGCCAAGUGGUGGAAGUUCCUUCACUUUCCAGCUGAGUUGGUACUUUAGGGGCCCUUCAAAAGCACAAGCUCCAGACCAGGAAUUUGAGGUGAUAGUGUCAUGCCUCAAAGUCAUGAGAGCGGGUGCUUCAUGUGCCUCUUUGUCACAGCACCUUGGGGACAGCCUUGUGGAGCUUCUGGAGCUGGGUGAUGGAUUCCAAUUCUGAUAGUUUGCUCUCUUGUUUGGCACUCAGACACCAGAGCACAUGAAGGCUCCCAGGUGCCUUCAUCCCUGGCUGUGCUAUUGCUAAAGUCCUGCAGACUCUGUAGCCACUCAGAAGUCCUGCACAGACGAGGCAGAGGGUGACACUGCCGUCAUUCCCAGGGUAGGGGUAUGACUGGCAAGACUGUGGCAUGCAGCCAUGGUUCUGGACGUUACUUGCCUGCACACCCAACCGUUGUUUAGGCCCUGCAAGCAAGACAGCAGUUGUCAGUAAGCGCUCAGACUGAACGUGGACAGUAUAGCUGCCCCAAACUUAAUCCUCCGCUGCAAGCACUCAUGUUGCUGUUCUGGGGGUUCCUAGGCCUCUCUUCUAAUGCUUUAGAUGUUCUCUGGAAAACAAGUAUUCAUAUUUGAAGCACAAAUCCAAGUGCUGGGGUGGGGGAAGAGGCGCUGUAUAAUCCUGGCUCGCCUUGGGCUUGCAGUGAAUUUUUUUCCCCUACCUCUAUCUACCUACUAGGAUUUCCUUGCUUGUGCCAUUAUGCACAACUGGGCUUACUGCAUUUAACCUGAAAUUCAAUAGGACAGGUUAAAGAGUAUUUUGAGUUAAGAAUGAACAAAGGCUGCAUGGUUGCCUGAGCUCAAAGACGUUGGAUCCCAGAUUCUGAUGACUUAUUUUGUAAAACAAAGAUAUGGUUGGGUUGGUUACAAGGCCCUAAGAACCAUGGAGGUGGAAAUAUUAACUUAAUCGGUGCUCUAUAAAUACACUGGAAAAUGU